AUCAAUUCGUACCGGUUUUAUAAAUAUCUUCCCUAAAUAUCUAAUAAUCCAUCCUCAUCCUCUGUGACUCACGUUCACUCCCUCCUUUUCUUUCAUUUGUCACGUUUCUUUCUUUCUCUUGCAGCAGACCAUAAUCUUUCUUUCUUAUUCUUCUUCUUCUCUAUUUCUAUAUAUAUAUAUAUCUUACCACUUGUUGCAACUCACGUUCUCUCUCUCAGAAGCAUCACCACCAGACUUCAAUAUUUAUUCAUUUCCUUUCUUUUUAUUUCUUUUGCUGCAGCUCCCCAAUUCUUUCCACUUAUUCUUCCUCUCUUUUCUUUUCCCUGGGCAGCAUAAAAAAACGCACAUCAUGGUCCCUUUUCCUCCCUCACGUGAUUCCACUCUUGUGCAGCACCAUCAUCUUCAUCUUCCAAUUUUAUGGGUACGAAGGACGAAAACGCCUUGCGACGAAGCUAAAGAAUAGAAGGAAGCGAGCCGACGCGGAAAACAAAGAUGUGAUAGGAUUGGAGUUGCAGUUUAGGAAGAAAAUUGGCUAAGAUGUCGUCGAUGGAUUCUUUCGUGAUUCUUCGUCAUUCGGGGAAGACCCGGAGCGAAAUGACUACUACUGAGCCUUUGACGUGGACCCGGACUUCAUGCAUGACCAGAGGGGAGUCGAUGAUGGAAGUAUGGGGGAUGGGUGAUUAGGGUCUAUUAAGGUUGGGUGUUAGUGUCCUAGCUCUGACUUAUUCUUAUUUUUGAGGGCUUGUGUUGCUGACACUUGACCUAACAUUUUGGGAUUGUACAUUUUGCCUACGGGCGUUACACUUUUCUACUUUCCGUCAUUGGAGGUUACUCAUGACGAGGUCGCUAUUUACAGCGGGGGAUGCUAUAUAUAUUGUAUAUUAGUUCUGUUGCCUUUCGCAUUUGGGUUUUAUUUAAUUCAGUCUUGUCUUAGUUAUUAUCAAAAAAAAAAAAAUAUUUACGUUUUUCCGCAUUAAGUUUACUUUUGGUUACUAAAGUGACGCCACCGAAAUCGGGGUGUUACAUUGUGGUAUCAGAGCUUGUCGAGUCUUUCGGGAGUUGUUGGGGAAUAGGUCUUCUGUGCUAGGUUGUGUGACUCUGCAAGGAGUGAAAAUUGAUUGUCUGCAAGCGAUUUUUCGCUUAAAAAUUGAUUGAAGUUAUUGCUUACUCAUAUUGUAUAGUGAUGCCAGAGACUAUCUUGUGAUGAGUACUAACUGUUUUUUUGAGCUUUGACCUUAUAGUUAUUACACCUAUUAAGACUUUAUUUAACUGUUGCUCGUGUUUAAACUAUAGAAGUACACGAGGUUUAGGAUAACGCACUAAGCCUAGAAAGUAGUCUUCCCCGAUGCGUUUAAAAGGAAGCUAGAAGCUGAAGAAUGAAUCUCAUAGAGAUUCCUUAUGGAUAGUAUACGUAUGAUGUUGAGGGCGUGUAGUUCCGUAGCGGAAUCGUUGAGGAUGUGAUAUCAGGAUAUUUGUGACUACUGGAUGAUAGGAACUCAUUGACUGUUCCAGUGGGUUUUUCUAGAUUUCCACCUUCGAUGUAUUAGGCCUGAUCAACUUAAUAUUGAGGGGGUGAUAUUCGGAAUCACAACUGGCGAUGGACUUUGAUAGAAGGAUGUGUAAGAUGAAUUUGAAUUAGAUCGAAGAUUAGUCGAGUUUGGAAGUAAAAGUUCGCGUUAAGUAUUAGUUUUCUUGCGAAGGAGUUAUAGUUUUAAGAAAUGGAUAUUCAUUUAAGAAGUAUUGAAGAAUUAAAGGAUAUUAGAGGUCCAAACUUAGUGAAGGCUUAGAUUUUAGAUCAAUCGCUUUGAUCACGAACGUGUGAGACAUGAAGUCUUGUCAAGUUUUGAUCGAAAGACUAAGUAUUGGAAUGAUUGGAGGAUGAUCAAAUUACCGAAAGGGAAGUGUUCGUAUCAAGAUGAAUACUUGAGGUAUAGUUAUGAUUGGAUCUUCUAGAGGAUAAGCCUCGAUUUAUGCGAAGUGUUAGGGAUUUCAAUAAGUCUAAAUUGGUUUGAGUGAGGAAGGUUUUGAGGACGAAGACGACAAUAAUGGAUUGUUAGAUAGUAAGAGGGUGAUUAGCUUAUGAGUGGUUGAUGAAUUUAUGAUUAAGGGAAUCAGUCUUGUUCUGUACGAGGUAAUAAGACUCAAGUCGAGUUUUAAAUUUGAAUGGUGACUAAGUAGAAGAUUGAUUUCAUGGUGCGAAUGAGGAUAAUUACGAAGUUGGAAGUGACGUUAAUGGACUAGUAGAUUCCAAGGCAAUAGUUCGUCUAGGAGUUAUCAAGCGAUCGAGUUGAGUUUUGGAUCAUGAGUGCUUUAGUGAAAGUUAUUUGGAACAAAGACACGGACGAUGCUAUAUGGGAGUUAGAGGAAAAGAUCAAGGAAUAAUAUCCGGAGCUUUUUACUGAACCCUAAGUUUCGAGGACGAAACUUUCUUUUUGGAGGGUAGUAAUGUAAGACCCAAGUUUUUAAGUUUAGGAGGAGUAAAUAAAAUUCCUAUUCACGAUUAGAUUUGAUGGAUCGUGAAGGGAAACCUGAACAAGAGUUUAUGGAAUGGAAUAAAUUUAUGAAGGAGAAAGUUCAGGAAAAGUCUAAGUAUUAUAUCAAAAUCGAUAGAAGUUAUAGCACGACUAACAUUCGCUUUAACCUAGGUCAAGAACGCUAGUAAAUAGCUAAUUUACUCUUUAAGGCACGAUGGAAACUAAUUCCAAAAAUCUUCAGAGAAAUGUUAGAACUUCUCUUAUUCGUCUAUAAACGAGCGUUUCGAUAUGGAACCCUGGAAUGUACGAACGACAAAUUCCAAUACUCGGAAGUUUGCCGAAACCGAAACCCUGAUAGUUCAGAAACCCUAGAAUCAACGGACGAUGAAGACUUUUUCUGUUCGGAGCUUCAAACGAAGAUUCCACACGCGUAGACCCAUUUCUUUCGAUGAUUCCAAUCUUUCUUCAGAAGGAAGUUUCUUCAUCCGACGUCAAACGCAAAAAGUAGUUUUGCGGCAUAUUUCAACCCAUACUACGUUCAAGCUAUUUUCUCACUUAAAUGAACCAGGAACAAGUAUCGACAUUUUAUAGAGAGAUACUUAACUCUGAUGCAUAAUAUGACAACUUCAUAUUUAUUCUGAUCGUCUCACAAAUAUUAUUUAGCUCAGUUUUUACUCAUUUCUUUGUCCAUGGAUCAUUUUAAUUUGCUCAAAGUGAUCCAAACUUAUAUUUCAUUAUUUCAUAGAGUCUCUCAUAAUUUUUGGUAUAGUAAUAUAUCAACUCUAUAUUUUUCUCUUAACUUUGUGAGCUAAAUUCUUCAGUGUCUAAAUCAAUUCGUACCGGUUUUAUAAAUAUCUUCCCUAAAUAUCUAAUAAUCCAUCCUCAUCCUCUGUGACUCACGUUCACUCCCUCCUUUUCUUUCAUUUGUCACGUUUCUUUCUUUCUCUUGCAGCAGACCAUAAUCUUUCUUUCUUAUUCUUCUUCUUCUCUAUUUCUAUAUAUAUAUAUCUUACCACUUGUUGCAACUCACGUUCUCUCUCUCAGAAGCAUCACCACCAGACUUCAAUAUUUAUUCAUUUCCUUUCUUUUUAUUUCUUUUGCUGCAGCUCCCCAAUUCUUUCCACUUAUUCUUCCUCUCUUUUCUUUCCACUGGGCAGCAUAAAAAAACGCACAUCAUGGUCCCUUUUCCUCCCUCACGUGAUUCCACUCUUGUGCAGCACCAUCAUCUUCAUCUUCCAAUUUUAUGGGUACGAAGGACGAAAACGCCUUGCGACGAAGCUAAAGAAUAGAAGGAAGCGAGCCGACGCGGAAAACAAAGAUGUGAUAGGAUUGGAGUUGCAGUUUAGGAAGAAAAUUGGCUAAGAUGUCGUCGAUGGAUUCUUUCGUGAUUCUUCGUCAUUCGGGGAAGACCCGGAGCGAAAUGACUACUACUAAGCCUUUGACGUGGACCCGGACUUCAUGCAUGACCAGAGGGGAGUCGAUGAUGGAAGUAUGGGGGAUGGGUGAUUAGGGUCUAUUAAGGUUGGGUGUUAGUGUCCUAGCUCUGACUUAUUCUUAUUUUUGAGGGCUUGUGUUGCUGACACUUGACCUAACAUUUUGGGAUUGUACAUUUUGCCUACGGGCGUUACACUUUUCUACUUUCCGUCAUUGGAGGUUACUCGUGACGAGGUCGCUAUUUACAGCGGGGGAUGCUAUAUAUAUUGUAUAUUAGUUCUGUUGCCUUUCGCAUUUGGGUUUUAUUUAAUUCAGUCUUGUCUUAGUUAUUAUCAAAAAAAAAAAAUAUUUACGUUUUUCCGCAUUAAGUUUACUUUUGGUUACUAAAGUGACGCCACCGAAAUCGGGGUGUUACAAAAACCAACAUCAUGAGAAAUGAUCAAUUCCACCAUCCCUUACUCCAGAGCAUUGAAGGCAAGCGACCCCUGAUAGUUGGGAUGAGUUAUAGUUACUCGCUUGCCACAUUAAAUCCAAGCCCCUAUGCAAACGAUCCUGCUUCAGGUACAUACGACCAAAGUGUGAUUGUCCAAUCAGGCUCAAGGAAAAACCAAGGGAGGAAGAUGGAGGUUUGUGGAGAUUGACUAUCAUAAGUGGAUACCACAAUCAUGAGUCAUCCACAUCGUUACUUGGCCAUGCAUAUGUCGGUCAAGUCAAGAAAAGAUCAUUGUGGGUGAAAUGGUUGACAACAAAGUAAAGCCAAGUAACAUGUUGCUAGCAUUGAAAAAUGUCAAUCCUCAAUAUUUGACAACCAUCAGGGAAGUGUACAAUCAACGAAUGACUUACAUUAAGGCCAAAAGGGGGGCUUGAACAAAAAUUCAGCACUUGAUGAAGUUCUUAGCGGAAGACAAGUACACGCACUAGUCAUGGUCUGAAGAGGGUUCCACUGUGGUUCGAUCUCUAUUAUGGGCAUAUCCAAUUUCUAUCCAGCAUUUAACCAAUUCUCUACUGUUGUGUUGAUUAAUACCACACGUACAAAACCAACAAGUAUAUGAUUCCUUUGCUGGAAAUGGUUGGUAUGACAUUAGUUGAAUACACAUACACCAUAGCUAUUGGAUACAUGUGCAAUGAGCGUGAACCUGAAGUUACAUGGGCGCUUGAAAAGCUAAGGGAGUUGAUACUUAGGGAGGAGGAUAUGCCAAAGGUCAUUGUAACUGACAAGGAUAAUGCUUUGAUAAACGCAGUUGCGACCACAUUUCCUACAUCUACUCAUUUCCUAUGCCAAUUCCAUAUUGCUAAGAAUGUGAAGGCAAAGUGCAAGCUUACAAUCCAACCCAAGGAGGUGUGGGAUGAAGUCGUGGACGCAUGGAGUAAUGACAUGUAUUCGGCAUCCGCCGCUGAGUUUCAUGCUAAUAUGGACUUCUUGCGUUCAUUUUUUGGGUAGCAAUCUGAGUUCAUGCAGUACAUCAAAAAUACUUGGUAGUCGUAUAAGAACAAGUUUCUGAAGGACGCCAUUAACCAUUACAUGCAUAUGGGGAACACAACAACAAACAUGUACAUUCUUAUUCACUCACAUUUGAUUCAAAAAAUGUUUCCUUAAUAUUAAUGUUAUUCAU